AUUGAACGCUGGCGGCAUGCCUUACACAUGCAAGUCGAACGGUAGAGUAGCAAUACUCGAGAGUGGCGAACGGGUGAGUAAUAUAUCGGAACGUGCCCAGUCGUGGGGGAUAACGUAGAGAAAUUUACGCUAAUACCGCAUACGAUCUAAGGAUGAAAGCGGGGGAUCGCAAGACCUCGCGCGAUUGGAGCGGCUGAUAUCAGAUUAGGUUGUUGGUGAGGUAAAAGCUCACCAAGCCGACGAUCUGUAGCUGGUUUGAGAGAACGACCAGCCACACUGGGACUGAGACACGGCCCAGACUCCUACGGGAGGCAGCAGUGGGGAAUUUUGGACAAUGGGCGAAAGCCUGAUCCAGCAAUGCCGCGUGUGGGAAGAAGGCCUUCGGGUUGUAAACCACUUUUGUACGGAACGAAACGGUUCGCUUUAAUACAGUGGGCUAAUGACGGUACCGUAAGAAUAAGCACCGGCUAACUACGUGCCAGCAGCCGCGGUAAUACGUAGGGUGCGAGCGUUAAUCGGAAUUACUGGGCGUAAAGCGUGCGCAGGCGGUUAUAUAAGACAGUUGUGAAAUCCCCGGGCUCAACCUGGGAAUUGCAUCUGUGACUGUAUAGCUAGAGUACGGUAGAGGGGGAUGGAAUUCCGCGUGUAGCAGUGAAAUGCGUAGAUAUGCGGAGGAACACCGAUGGCGAAGGCAAUCCCCUGGACC
rnacentral:rRNA from 1 species